rnacentral:rRNA from 1 species
AUUGAACGCUGGCGGCAUGCCUUACACAUGCAAGUCGAACGGCAGCACGGAGCUUGCUCUGGUGGCGAGUGGCGAACGGGUGAGUAAUAUAUCGGAACGUACCCUGGAGUGGGGGAUAACGUAGCGAAAGUUACGCUAAUACCGCAUACGAUCUAAGGAUGAAAGUGGGGGAUCGCAAGACCUCAUGCUCCUGGAGCGGCCGAUAUCUGAUUAGCUAGUUGGUAGGGUAAAAGCCUACCAAGGCAUCGAUCAGUAGCUGGUCUGAGAGGACGACCCGCCACACUGGAACUGAGACACGGUCCAGACUCCUACGGGAGGCAGCAGUGGGGAAUUUUGGACAAUGGGGGCAACCCUGAUCCAGCAAUGCCGCGUGAGUGAAGAAGGCCUUCGGGUUGUAAAGCUCUUUUGUCAGGGAAGAAACGGUGAGAGCUAAUAUCUCUUGCUAAUGACGGUACCUGAAGAAUAAGCACCGGCUAACUACGUGCCAGCCGCCGCGGUAACAC